UACGUAGGGUGCGAGCGUUGUCCGGAAUUAUUGGGCGUAAAGGGCUCGUAGGCGGUUUGUCGCGUCGGGAGUGAAAACCUCGGGCUUAACUCGGGGCUUGCUUUCGAUACGGGCAGACUAGAGGUAUGCAGGGGAGAACGGAAUUCCUGGUGUAGCGGUGAAAUGCGCAGAUAUCAGGAGGAACACCGGUGGCGAAGGCGGCUUGCUGGGCCAGUUCUGACGCUGAGGAGCGAAAGCGUGGGGAGCAAACAGG
rnacentral:rRNA from 1 species